rnacentral:lncRNA from 1 species
GCCACCUAGGACUCAGGAAGCUCAGAAAGUUAGAAACUGGCAGGAUCCCCAAGGUCGGUAAGCAGUAAACAGCCUUUGAGGGAGCAAGGACUCUCUGGUGGAGCUGCCUGUAAAUCCUGCGGGGGACAUUAGGAAUACAGCCCUCACGAGUUAUCAUCCAGGCUGAGGAAAAUAGCAUGGAGAUAAUAUAUGAUGUGGUACUCAACUUAUUAACAGUAACAGAGAUUGGGAUGCAUGCACAUGGAAGGCAAGAUGAAGAUCAAUUAGCUAUGGACCUUAGUUGGUAUGGUGACAA